rnacentral:piRNA from 1 species
UCAGUGACUUCGAAAAUUUCUUGAGCGA